AACGAACAAAACAUCACCAGAUGUUAAUGCGGGCAUCUUCCAGGUUAGGAGACAGACCAGGUGGAAAUCGAACCUCAACGCUGUGCUGAUCAGGCAACUGGAGAGCCUGACAUGACCCACUAUCGGAUUCGAUGAAGCCAUGAAGACAGGUUCCCCAUGAUGGCUUUGGUUGCUUUUUAUGAAGGGGAAGGAAGAUCUAAGCAGGCAAGCUUGUCCUCCAUGUUUUGAUACAGUGAGAAAGCACUUGCCAGACGCCAAGGCCAUGUUUUUGGACUUCCCAUGCUUCCCUGAAUGUAGUAUCCAGCGAUAUCCACAGAAGACAAACCUAGACAUCCUAGCUAGGUCUACUUCUCUGUCUCUGAUGCCCGUCCCUGAUCUCCCCACAGGCCUCCCCAUGGCCUGGGCUACCUGCUCAUCUCUCUACUCACACUUGAUCUGUGCACCUGAGCCUGAGAGAGCUUUUUGGGAUGGAUCACAUUACUUUGAGCUCUUAACCCUUGAGCUGGGAUGUCUGCCAUGAUGACCUCUGCAAGGUUACAGUCCAUCAAUUGAGAGAAGCUAAAAAAAGAAGCUUGAAGCAGAAACCAUGGAGUACUGCCCGCUGUAUUGCUCUUCAUGACUCGCUCAUCUACCAUCCUUAUAUUACCCAGUACCACCUGUCUAGACAUGGCACCACUCAUAGUGGGCUGGACGCUCCCACAUCAAUCAUCAGCUCUUAAAAAAAAAGUGCUGUAAUUCCUCAAGGCACUUAGGCAUUCUCCUUCACUCCUCUGUCCUUUGAGCCAAGGCUAGUGCUCACCAUAAACAUUUAAAAAAAGUAUCAAUUAAAUAUGUGAAAACAAAAACAAGUCAUCAUUUGAAGCCAUCUCUAGCCUCAGGCUCUGCAUAGAACAGCCAACUACUGACUUAUCUUUGUAAUUAAUUAAAUUUGUUCUUUCAUUAUUUUAUACACAUGUGGAAUACAUCUUGAUUGCUUUCACUCGCUCCUAUUUCCCUCCUUUCCUUAUCCACACCCCAAGUCUAUUGACCUCA